CUGUCCAUUUUCUGUUAAAUAGAUGUUUAUUUCCUGUUUUUUAGCUGAUAGAAUUCCUAGAGAUUCCUUCUUUUUCUUCUCUAAUAACAGUAGCCCUUAUACUUUAUAUAAGAGACACACAUAUACUCUGAUCCGGGAGAUUCUCUCUGAAGAAAGAAACAAUAUGAAAAUUCCAAUUUAAAGACAGAAAUACAAAAAUAUAGAAAGGCUCCAAACUUUUCUUGUUCUGGAUUCCGGCUUCAUUUCUUUAGGGUUUCACAAGUUUGAUUGAUUGUUGAGACUUGGGUUACACUGGUGAAGAUUAUUGCUGAACUUCCAGUUUGAAUCAGGUUUUGUUCUUAUUUGGAUAUCCUAGUGCUUUGUUGCUUAUCUAGCUUUAGCAAUAGCUCUAAGCAUAAAGCCACCAUAGUUUUCUGCAUAUGUGAUGAGUAAUUUUGUGCCAAUUUGAGGAUAUUGAAGGUUGUUGUUGCUGAUCACAUGGCUAUAGUUUACGGAUUUGGCCACUAGUUGGCCAAAUAAGCAAAGUUGUAAGUCAAAGAAUGAGAUUCUGUCGCUGGUAGUAUGCUGAAAAUUAACUACUUCAUGUUGCGGAUUAAAGUUCAUGUGGAUAGACUAUAUCUGAAUUGGAAAGUAUUCAUUAGUUUAGCAAUUUCAUGGAGAAUUGUAAUAAAAGUGAUUAAUGUUUUAAAGUUUGGAUUCCGACUUUUGUAUAUCAAAUUGGCUGCAAUUUUUUUUCUUUGAAAAUCUGAUAAGCUUGUCAUUAUGUUUAA